GACAGAGGGUGCAAACGUUGUUCGGAAUUACUGGGCGUAAAGCGCGUGUAGGCUGCUCGAACAGUCGGGUGUGAAAGCCCUGGGCUCAACCCAGGAAGUGCAUUCGAUACUGCCGAGCUUGAGUCCUGGAGAGGAAGGCGGAAUUCUCGGUGUAGAGGUGAAAUUCGUAGAUAUCGAGAGGAACACCGGUGGCGAAGGCGGCCUUCUGGACCGAUAUUGACGCUGAGGAGCGAAAGCCAGGGGAGCAAACGGG
rnacentral:rRNA from 1 species